rnacentral:rRNA from 1 species
GACGAACGCUGGCGGCGUGCUUAACACAUGCAAGUCGAACGGAAAGGCUCCAGCUUGCUGGCGUACUCGAGUGGCGAACGGGUGAGUAACACGUGGGUAAUCUGCCCUGCACUCUGGGAUAAGCCUGGGAAACUGGGUCUAGUACUGGAUAUGACCUUUCUCCUUAUGGGGUUUGGUGGAAAGUUUUUCGGUGUAGGAUGAGCCCGCGGCCUAUCAGCUUGUUGGUGGGGUGAUGGCCUACCAAGGCGACGACGGGUAGCCGGCCUGAGAGGGUGAUCGGCCACAUUGGGACUGAGAUACGGCCCAGACUCCUACGGGAGGCAGCAGUGGGGAAUAUUGCACAAUGGGCGGAAGCCUGAUGCAGCGACGCCGCGUGAGGGAUGACGGCCUUCGGGUUGUAAACCUCUUUCAGCAGGGACGAAGCGUAAGUGACGGUACCUGCAGAAGAAGCACCGGCUAACUAUGUG